GCUUAAUAUUUGAAAAGUUUAGUCUUUUUAGUUGAAUUUUGGUUUAACUGUAAAAAUAUUUCGUUGGGGUGACGGGAAGAUAUAGUAAACUCUUUUUAAUUUCUUACAUUGAUGUAUGAAUGAUUGAUCCAUUUAUAGUGAUUAUAAGACUAAGU
rnacentral:rRNA from 1 species